CCAUAUCGCAGCAAUAGAGUGCUUCCCUCUCUUUGGUUGUUAUGGAUCCUUACAAGUUCCGUCCAUCAAGCGCAAACGAUCCCCCCUUCUGGACCACCGAUGCUGGUGCUCCAGUAUGGAACAACAAUUCCUCCAUGACUGUUGGAACCAGAGGUCCAAUCCUUCUGGAGGACUAUCAUAUGAUAGAGAAACUUGCCAACUUUACCAGAGAGAGGAUUCCAGAGCGUGUUGUCCAUGCUAGGGGAAUGAGUGCAAAGGGUUUCUUUGAAGUCACGCACGAUGUCACUGACCUUACUUGUGCUGAUUUCCUUCGAGCCCCUGGAGUCCAGACCCCUGUUAUUGUCAGGUUUUCCACUGUUAUCCAUGAGCGUGGAAGUCCUGAAACUCUCAGAGACCCUCGAGGUUUUGCUGUCAAGUUUUACACCAGAGAGGGUAAUUUUGACCUGGUGGGCAACAAUUUUCCUGUCUUUUUCAUCCGUGAUGGGAUUAAAUUCCCUGACAUGGUCCAUGCUCUCAAACCCAAUCCUAAGUCACACAUUCAGGAAACUUGGAGGAUACUUGACUUCUUCUCACACCACCCUGAGAGCUUGCACAUGUUCACCUUUCUCUUUGAUGACAUUGGAAUUCCACAGGAUUACAGGCACAUGGAUGGGUCUGGUGUUAACACCUACACUUUGAUCAACAAGGCUGGGAAAGCAUACUAUGUGAAAUUCCAUUGGAAACCAACUUGUGGGGUUAAGAGUUUGUUGGAAGAUGAGGCCAUAAGAGUCGGUGGAUCUAACCACAGUCAUGCCACACAGGACCUCUAUGACUCAAUUGCAGCUGGAAACUACCCUGAGUGGAAGCUUUUCAUUCAGACAAUUGAUCCUGCUGACGAGGAAAAGUUUGAUUUUGAUCCACUUGAUGUGACCAAGACUUGGCCUGAAGACAUCUUGCCCUUGCAGCCUGUGGGUCGCUUGGUUUUGAACAGGAAUAUCGAUAACUUCUUUGCUGAGAAUGAGCAACUUGCGUUCUGCCCCUCUAUUGUGGUGCCUGGUGUCUAUUAUUCAGAUGAUAAGUUGCUGCAAACUAGAAUUUUCUCCUACUCUGAUACUCAGAGGUAUCGCCUUGGCCCAAAUUAUCUGCAGCUUCCAGCAAAUGCUCCCAAGUGUGCUCAUCACAACAAUCACCAUGAUGGUUUCAUGAAUUUUAUGCAUAGGGAUGAGGAGGUCAAUUACUUUCCUUCAAGAUAUGAUCCUGUUCGUCAUGCUGAGAAGUACCCUAUUCCUUCUGCUAUUCUUUCUGGCAACUGUGAGAAGGUUUGUUUCUGUGCUAUUUGUUGCAUUGUUUAAAUGGUUAGCAAUGGAAAUGAAAUAUACAAUCCAUAUGAUUUUAGACCAAAAUGCUGUAGUGAUUCAAUGAACUAAUUUUUUCAGAUCCUUUUGAAAUGUUUUAUCCAUGCAAAUGGGACUAGCUAUUAGUUGUGUACUUGUGUUGGUCAAUUGGACAUGUAUAAUGCUGAGCUAUAGCACUUCGAUUUCAUUGUCACAGUGUGUCAUUCCAAAGGAGAACAACUUCAAGCAGCCUGGGGAGAGAUACCGUUCCUUUUCAUCAGACAGGUAUACUUAAUUAUCAUGUAAUUUCACUUUUUUUUUUUUCAUUUUUCUGUUCACUUUCAGUCUUAUAUACGAUAUUCUACCCCAGGAAAGAGCGAUUUAUUCGACGUUGGGUUGAGGCCAUGUCUGACCCAAGGGUUACCUAUGAAAUCCGCAGUAUUUGGAUCUCAUACUGGUAUCAGGUGAAGUUUCAUAUUCUUUGACAUAUAAAUACGUGUGCAUGCACACACACACACACAGGUGUUAAUAUUCAGUUGAUCUCAUACUUGGAUGGAUGAUCAUACUUGACCAGUAUACAAAUAAAAUCGCUUCGAUGUUUGAUUAAUUUGCUUUUCAAAUUAUGUUGAGAUUGAUUCUGUAAUCUGUCACUGUAUCAUAAUACUUUUGUGUUUCAACUUGGGGUAGAAGAAAGGGUCAGUUGAUGUAAACCAUUGACUGAUGAUUACUAAUAAAUUUUGUUUGUGUGGCUACAGGCUGACAAGUCUCUGGGACAGAAGAUUGCUUCUCAUCUCAACAUGAGGCCAACCAUGUGAUGAGCAGAAACAUUGUCUCAAAUAUUCAACCAUACAGUGACAGCGACAUUAUUCGAUCUAAUUACCGUGCCUUAUUUUAUAUGUAUUCCGUAUCUAAGAAAAAAAAACAUUGCAGUCUUGUGACAUAUACCGAGAAGAGUCUUUGUAAUAAGAUGUGCUAAAUAAUGUCUUAAAUGUGAGUUACUGUGUUUUUAAUAACUUUCCCUAGUGAGUCUCUUUUGACCGGUCUUUUCUUGUUGAGUGCCUGUUCCUGAUGAGUGCCUGUUGCAAAAGAAAACAAGGGUAGCCUAUUGGUCAACCAUUUCGAUGUUCAAGUUAGUCUUAGGUUGUUCAAAGAGAGUUUAUGAGUUGUAAAUAUAGAAUUGAGAAUUUGAUAAAGUAAACAUAUUUAAUUUAUACCUUAUUUUGAUAUUUCUAAACUGAAAGCUAAAGAGUUAUUGAAAUUAAUUUUAAGAAUUUCAACAUACUCGAUUGCCAUCCUAAGAUUCUCUUGCAAAUCUGCCACCCUUAUUAAUUCAUUCUAGCAAAACUCUAUUGAUUGUUGCUCAGGUAUUCCAGUCGGGCGUUUGA
rnacentral:misc_RNA from 1 species